CAGGGGGUUUGCCAAAGUAAAACACGCACCUAAAUUAUUUUAAAAAUUAAUACAACUACUACUCAUGGAAAGAGUAGCGUGAUUGAUUUGAAAGUCUUGCUUGACUCUUUGAUGAAAUCCUCAAACGAGCUAUAAAAAAAAAUUUGCCCCAGUGUGGGCUUAUUUUGCGAAAUCUUGCAAAUAAGAAUUUCGCCCCAGUAUGGGCCCAUUUGAUUGCAAAAAAUUUGUUCAGAUGGUUCCCCAUUUAUUUGAACCAAGAGAAAUCGCACUUUCCAAAACUUAGAAAGUAAUCAUAUACAACGUGAAGAAAUUUGAACGUUGAGUUCAUGCAGAAAUUUCAUGAUGAAUCUCUCAGAAUAACACCAAAUUUUCAUCCUCACUUUUAGCAUCGGUGCCCAGAGUAGCGGCUCACCACUUCUUGUUGACUCAUUUUUCAGGGCUAAUCGAGUGGGGUGUUAUUUCUGAUUUGGAAAUGGCUAAAGGAAAUGGAAGGUCAAGAUUUGUCUUAUUUUGUGCCCAAAUUGUAUGUAAUCCUUUUUAUACCACAUCUUAGUGAAAGCAAAGAGUUUAUCAUCCUUAUUUCUUAAGAAAACGUAGUCCACAUAUGAGCUUUAUAGGCUUGCAACAAUAUGGAUGGAAGCGAUAACUAAACAUGCGAAAACUGGUUGCACCCUUAUGAUCAUGAGUGAUCGAUGGAUAUCUUAUGAGCAUAAUCCUCACUUUGGGUUGUCAUGAAGGAAUAAGUCAACGAUGGACUUUAUUAGCUUGUAAUUUGGCUUGAAAACGAUAGCUAAAGAAAUAAUUUUCAAUGACAUUGCACCGAAAAUCGCAUUUUUCUCAAAAUUGCCCUCAUUUUGAACUCAAAGAUCUCAGAUUUUGUUUGCAUUUUUCUCAUCAUUCACCAGGGAUUUCAUAGUCGAUUUUUUUUUUUUUGCAGUUUCUUUUCUUGCUUUCCUUUUCUUCUCCUCGACCUGGUGGGUUUUCUCUUAGUGAGUAGCGUCAACCCCAUACCCAACCAAUUCAGAAAUACAGCUAAAAUUUUACGGCAUCAGAAAUUUUCUUGACAGGGCCAUUGCAAAGAACAGAAGUCAGGACUUUCGACUUUUGUAAUGGGGUCAGGUGGGGUGCUUAGAAAAGUUAAGGUUUGAAAGCAGAUUUCAAAAGUGGUUUAAGUAAUCUGAGAUCGCAUUGUUGGGCCAACCCUAUUUUAGGGUUAAAUCAGAAUUUGCCCCAGUUUAUGCUCAAUUGAGGCUUUUCACUUUCAUUUUCUUUCUUCUUUUGACUUUUCGGCCUUUUGCCCUUCUUUGAAACUUUCACAAAAUUUCUCCCAAUUUAUUUUUGAACUGAGGUUCUCUUUUCUUCCUUUGUCUUUUGAUUUUGUGGCUUUUCACUUUUUCCACUUCUUGAAAUUUUCCUUUUCCAACUCAAACUUGCCCCAGUGUGGGGUUUGCGAUUCUCAGGGGUUGCCAAACGAAGUAUUUCAUUCUGAAGGCUCAAAAGGGAUAAUUAGGGAUAGAUGCUUGAUCGGAAAAGAAGAGGGCCUGACCUUUUUUCCGUUCCUUACAAUAAUUCUGAAAGGAAACUUUCAUUAAUGGAAAAUUUUUGGCAUGUAUCUGAAUUAACUGAUUGAGGAAGACCCAUGUUCAUCCAUAUUUGUGAAACAUAGGCGAUCCACGCGGACAAAACUCUUCCUUUUCUUUCUUUUUUCAAAAUUGGAACCCAAGUGGAAUCAAAUUUCCCCAAUUUGCGGUUCCCUCCUUUUCUAGCAUUUUUGCUUUUCCCCUUUUCUUUUUUCUUUUUCAAAAUUCCCCAAUCUCCUUCCCCAAUGUGGGGUGCGAUCAUAUGUGCACUCGAAAAGAACCACCAAUUUUUAGCUCAAAUGAGGAUGCAAGGGAUGAUCAGUGUUUAGGUUGUAGAAACGAUGGCCAAAGUAUCAUUCUUACGCCUCAUGACAACCAAGUAAACGAAUUGCUCGUUGAGAAUCCAUUCCCUUUUGAAAAUUUUCCCAAUGUAUGGUAGUGAUCACCAAGGCACUUAUUUGAAACGAAAUUAUUCUUUUAUAGGCUCAAAUGAGAGAGCAAAUGAUAAAAUGUGUAUAGGUAGAGAAACGAAUGCUCAAAGUAUCAUUCCAAAUUUUCAAAACAAACAAGAAUAAUGCACUUUUUUGCUUUCACUUAGAUGUGAAUUGAAUACAAUUAGACACAGUGGACAUUUUCAAGCAAAAGUUGCCCCAAUUUGUAAUUUAUCAAUCAAUGUGACUGAUUUUAUUUUGGGGUUAAGUGAAGGAGAAAGGUAUCUCAUGGGCCUUCUGAGUGACCUUUCCACUCUUAUUGUGUGGCUCGGAUCACCAAUCUAGUGUACACAAGGAUUCUAAAAUGCAUACACUUGCGAAUUUUCAGGCUGGAGGUUGAAAAAAACUCUCAAUUCGGUCUUAUUUCUCAAAAUUCAUCAUGAAAUCUCUUAAUGAGCUCAAUAAAGAAUGAAAUGUACACAAAUAAUUGUCUGAACAAAAGCUUCAUUAUUGCCAAUGUUUGAAAAAUUUUAAAAAGUAAUACAUAUGAAAAACAGUCUAAGGAACUCCUUUACACAUGUAUACACACUUUUCCCUCUUAAUAGCCCCUUUUUCUUUGAGCAAUGAAAUCCCUCAGGUGUUUUGCGCGAGCGCUUUCAAAUGAAUUUUCGAAUUCACAUUGUAAGGCCUGCCUGAGAAUCAAGUAAUACUUGUAAUUUUCAAAUCUUAUCAGAUUAAAAUUGUUAUCAGAUAUGAAAAGAUAUUUUUCACCUUAUUGAACUUACUUUUAUGAAUGCAGGGGGAGGGGAAAAACAAAAGGAAAAAUACCCAGAGUCAGUGAGUAAGAAUAAAAAGUCGGUAUGCAUGUCCUAUGGAGGAACCCUUUUUAUGCCAAGGGUAGGUCUAGCAUGAAAAUGCAAUCCUCUAGGGUAGGCACUAUACCAUACCUGAUGAAUCCGAUCAACUUAUUGGCAUUUGAUUAGAAAGUGAUUUGGAAAUUUUGGACCAAUUGAACGGCGGGAGCUCUCCAACAAAAUGAGGACAACUCCGAAUGAAUGAUUGGUUUUGAUUGGCACAAGAAUUUAUACAAAUUAAUUUAACUUUGACGAGCUUGUGAUUGAAGGAAUCUGAAAUCUCCUAACACAGAUCAAAACCCUAGUUCAUCCAAAUGCAAUGGGUGAUUUUCUUAAAACAACUAGGUUUCUUAAUUUGAAAUUAAAACCCUAAUUAGUUGACUGGGUUGGAUGAAAUUGAUGAUUUAUUCAAAAAUUGACCGAAUCACCUUAAAAAAAAGGGUAAAAUGGUCAAAUGCAUUGAAUGAAAUUUGAUUAUUUAUUCAAAAUUGAAUGGAUAACCCAAAAAAUGAAUUAAACCAAUCAAAUGAAUUGAAUGAAGUCAAAUGAUCAAACAGAUCGAGCGAAAUGAUGAUUUAUUUAAAACCGACCAAAUUGCCCUAAAACUAGGCAAAUCGGUCCAAUGGAUCGGAUGAUUUAUUCAAAUUUGACUAGAUUUGACCUAAGAAUGGGUAAACUAUUCAAAUGAAUUCAAAAUCGAUUAAAUUGCCCUAAAAUUGAACAAAUUGAUAAAAUGGACUGGAUGAAAUUGAUGAAUCAAAUGAUCCAAUGGACUGAAUGGCUUGAUGCAUUAGUCUAUGAGCCUUCUAAAAUCAAAUUUUGGCCUCAGUUCAUUCAUCAUCUCAAUAGCGAGGAAUUAUUUGUGAAUUUCUUCAAGUUAAUGUCCUUUUUGCAAGGAAUUUUUACCAAUUUGAUAAAAUGGCCAAAAGGUGAUUAUUAGACGCUCAUAUUCCAAAGAUCGCUCUCGAAAAUGAUCGGAUCCUACCUUAUCUCGUGCACUACCCCUUCGGAUGGUACAAAAUGUAAACGUGCAAGUCUCCUUGGAUUAAGUAUCCGAGACAUAAGGUGGUUUAUUCCUAACGUGGGAUCCCCUAAAUGGCAUUCCCUUCUAGAGUUUAUGCAUGAUGCCAUUUAUUAAAGCGAUGUAAACAUGUGACAAAUAUGGCCUAAAGGACAUAAAUAAUGCAUCGGGGGGAAAACGUCUAAAAUGAAAUGUACUUAUUGAAAAUUAAGUGUAAUGACUGAAAUUUAAACAUGUGAGUUAUCUAGUGGGUAAGUCACUAAAAGAGUGCCAAAGAGCCCUCUUAUUGCUAUGGCACAUGAAUGCAGGCCAAGAAAACAAAGAAAUGGUUAGUGCAAUUGAUAGUACACAUAACACAUUGGGAGCAAUUAAGAAAAGAAAUACAAUAAAAGCAAGUAAAAGGGGUGGAACCCCUUCCCUCGUGCCUAAUGUGCUUAAAAGGGUGAGGCUGACUCUAACCUAGGAAAACUCUAACAUGGAUGCAUGAGGUUGGGGCUCACUAAUGCGACUAGACUCGAUAAGGUUUAAAAAGGUCCCCAAGCCUUCAGACCUAAGGGAAUGGGUCAUCAAUCCCAAGACGCUUGGUCGGUGGCUCGAGCGAUCCCCUAGGUACUGCUAUGGGCGCAGAGCACACCAUCCACAUACCUAGAGAAACCAUUCCUAAUCCUACAAGGCGGUGUGGGAAAGAGCCCACGAAAAUAAAAUAAAAUAAAAUGGGAUAACAGUAAAUAAACGUGCACGUAUGAAGUGUUCCCUAUUUGAGGGAAAGGGUUGAGAACCAACGCGAGACUCUAAAGGUGACACACACCCCCCCAAAUGCAAUGCAAAACGCGAGAUAAAACAAGUACAACAUACAUCCAAACAACCAAUCGUACAUACGUGAGUGAGGGAAUAGCUUGAUACGCACGCGAGGCAAAAAGUCCUAAAAUGGAAAAUGCAACCCUAAUAUCCAAAUGCUAUGCAUAAAAAGGGUAGAAAAGGGAAAAGAAUAGCCAAAUCAAAUGCUCGGACCCACUUAGGAAUUCCCCAGUGGAGUCGCCAACUGUCGCGCCCCAUUUUUUUGAAUAAAUAAAUAAAUAAAUGGUUUGAAAAAAUGUUUUUUUUUUAUUCAAUUUGUGGUUGGAAAAUGAAUUUUGAUUUAAAAGAAAAAUGGGUCUAAAUGGGGGUUUGAGAAUGCGACGAUUUGACCCAAAAUGUAGUUUAAAAAGGGUUUUUGAAAUCAAAAUCGGAGUCGCCACUUGGUAAUGGGUUAAUGUGUACCAAGUCACCUAAAAAUGAAUUUUAAAAGAAAAAUAGGAAAAAGUAGUAAGAAACCCCUUUUAAACGACUCCUAGUCCACGAAAACCAACGAAAAAGGUUCGGGAGUCACAUUUGACGAAGGGGAAGGCAAGGAUAAAAUCCAAGGCACCCCUUCGACCUAGCCAAGGCUAGUUGCGUGAUUUAAUCAAAGAUUUUCUUGUUUUAACCAAAGAAUUUAUUACAUUUGGAUGCACUACAUGGAUGCAAACCCUAGACCUAGGGGUAUUGGGGGAAAUUUCUCUUCAAAGGUUGAGUGGUGCCAAUCACAUUAAUUGUGAAGCCCAAUAACGAUCCUUUGAAGAAGUCACGAAUAAUGCGAGUGGGAUGCAAAUGAAUGGAAUGCAUGUAUGCAAUGUGAGAAUAUGUGAAGUGAGAAAAAUAAUAAAAAUAAUAGGAUGUAAGUGGAGGUGUGCAAAUGUAUUUACAAGUGUUUGUGUGCAAGUGAAGGGAUAAAAAGGUGCUUGUGUGCAAAUGAGACAAAAGUGAAAGUGUGAUGAUAGAGUGGAUUGAGAAUGCAUGAGGCUCGGGAAUUCAUGCAUAUUGGGUACGGGGAGACCUAAAUCGUGACUCAAUUUGCCCUUUUAUAGAGAGGAUACAAGCGUGCUAAGGCUUUAGAAAAAGCCACACUCGUCUAUAUCCCAUAUUUAAGGGGACUUUCAAGCAAAUGAACCCUAUAACUAGCAUAAAAUGCAAAAAUCCUAAAAUGGAGGGAAAAGGGUUUCGAGGGGCAUGCAAAAUGAUAAAACUAAAAAGAAUGCAUGACAUGCAAACAUGUACUAACGAGGGGAAAUCUCUAAGGGUCUAGCGUUGGACUAGCCCAUUCUAUGAAUUCCGACUAACGUUGGACUAGUGGAAACGUACAUUCACCCAUCACAUUCAUUCAGGCUAUGGAAAGCGAGUAGACAUGCCAAACACUUAUAAACACAUAGCACAUAACAUUUAGCAUGCUCGACUAGAUGCAAGGGCCUAAUAAAGCAAGUUAACACGUAGCACUUAAGCAUGCAAGUCACACAAAGCAAUUAAGGCCCUAACUAUUACAUUUGCUAGCUAGGCACAUGUCUUCAACAGGUCUUCAUCGAAUGCUCCUCCAAGCCCUAUCUAUUACAAGCCAAGAGGUGUACACAUACCCCAUAAAGAAUAACUUAAAUAAAAAGCAAAAGUAAAUGACAUAAAUAAAAGAAAUUAAAGAAAGGCUAGGAAAGCAAAGUAGACAUGUAUAUUCACAUAACACGUAGGAGCACGUAGGAAAAAUAACUCAAGAAUAUAGAAGUUACCUCCCUUGCCAUGGAAAUCGAGUAAAUGAGAUAUUAGCUUCAAAACAAUAAAAAGGGUCAAGGCACCAAUUUAUUUGAUAAAUAAUCACAAAGGAUAAAAAUAAACAUGACUUUGAAUCAAUUAAAUCAUGUCAACAAACCACAUUUAAGAAGUCAAGAGAAGAAAGGACUUGAUUGCAAAGAUUGACAAAAUUUUGGGGCCAAAAUUAAAGAAAAAUAAAGUUCAAGGACUUAUUUGCAAUUAAAGUAAGGACCGAAUUGAAAGUAGUUGAAAAUAUCCAGGGCCACAGUGAAAUUAAAGAAAAGUACAGGGACUGAUCUGCAAAUGCGUUCUCUGGUUUCUUAAUGGACCAGGCCAUGGGGCCAUUUUAUUUGUUUGUUUGGGCCAAAGCUCCCUUAAGCCCGAUGAAAAAAAAAUCAAAGAAACAGAUGGGCUUGCCUUCACUUUCCAGCAAAGCAAAUUCAACCAAAAGAGUGGGCUUCACCUCUUAAGCCCAAACCAGAAAUCCAAACAAAAGAAAUUACGCCCACUUUUCAAACCCAACCAAAUAUUAAUACCCAAAAACCCAACUCAUAAAACUAAACCCAACAAGAUUAGCAAAUCAAAUAAAAUUAUCAAGCCACAAUUAUGAUCUAAAAUCAAGAAUUAAUCCACCCAAAAGACUACUUAAAAAAUGAAAGGAUAAUUAAAGUCUAAAAGGGCAAAAUUGGUUUAAUUACAAAAGGGUUUAGGCCAUAUCAAAAUAGGGGAAAUUCGAGGGAUUCAAAUGCAACCAAAGCAGGGACCUAAUGAAGGACUUAUGCAGGUGUUGGAGGCAAAUUAUGAAGCUCAAAAAAUUCAGGACUAAAUCACGAAACAAAAAGAAAAUAGAGUCUGAAAUUCCAACUUAAGCAAGUAUUCAUCUUCCCCAAAUGAAUUCAACAUCAGAUCAACAUCGCUGCUUUCUUUCGGUCAACAAUAUCAGAAAUUUAGUUUCAAUUCCAAGCAUCUUCAAUCAGACAAAUGAAACCCGCAAAAAAUUCCCCUUUUAAACUUAAUUCGAAUUCAUACGAUGGAGGCAAAAGGAAUGGCAAAAUGCAAGACAGCAAUACAUCAAAAUUCUCUCAAUCACAAGGGAACGAACUGACUGAGUUAUCUGAUUUCUUCACAUGCAAAUGCAGACAAUCAUCUUCAGGUAGAACUUUCAUUCGAACUUCAAUUGAAUCAAUACGUGCACGUUUACAUGCAUAUUUAUUUAUUAAAGAAAAAUAAAGCUCAAGGACUCAUUUGCAAUUAAAGUAAGGACCCAAUUGAAUGAAAUUGAAAGUUGUUGGGGCCAUAGUGAAAGCACUCGAAAGUCAGGGGCUGGAGUGAAAUUUUGUCAUCAGGCUUCUUGGCAAAACAGGCCAUUGGGCCAUUUUAUUCAUUUCGUGGGCCAAAACUCCUCCUAGCCCAACGGAAAUUCCAAACAAAAGGAAUGGGCCAUUUUAUUACUUGGACCCAAAUUUAGCCCACAAAACUGAUGGACCUCGACUCUCUAGCCCAAACCAAAACCCAACGAAAUAACCCAACAACCCAUUAGCCAAACCCAAAAAUGUUAUUACCCAAACUCUAAACCAUACCACUAAACCCAACAAGAUAAACAAAUCAACUAAAAAUAUUAAGCCACAAUUAUGACCUAAAAACAAGAAAAUAAUCAAGCUAAAAGACUACUUAUGCAUAUUAAAAGAUGAUUAAGGAAGAAACAAGUUCACUCUUUCCAAUUUUCUAAGUCAUAUCAGAACAAGAGGGAAGAUUAAGGGUUAGGGAUCUAAUUGAAAGAAUUAUGAACAUUUUGGGGUCAAGCUAUGCAGUUCCAAAAUUCUGGGGUUACAUUACAAACAAAAUGAAAAUGGAGGGACUGAAAUCGCAGAACUUGUACAAGCAAUCGUCUUCUCCAAAACAAGUUCAAACAUCCGACUGUUUUCAUCUUGCUUUGUCUACGAAUGAAUACCAGAAAAUUCAAUUCCGACAAAUCUCCAAGAUGCAACUCACAAACUCCCUCUUAUACAAAUUUCAGGCCAUUAAUUCGCAUCCAUACAAAGGGAAAAGGCAGAACCAGAAACGGAAAACAGAGACAGUAUCGCAUGCUGACAUAUCAGGAUCAAAAUUCUUCUUUCUACCAUAGAAAUCAACCAUUAUGUUCUGAAAAACAUUGAAAUUGCUGUCCAUUUGUUUCUUCACAUGCACAAACGCAGACAAGUCAUUUUCCGGGCAUAACAUUCAGUUGGGUAUUUCAUCGAACACCAAACGAACAUCAAAAUAUCAUUGAUUUUUGUUCAAAUUGAAGGCUGCGACUAGCCCAAAAUUUGUCAGAAACACAAGAAUGCAGACCAUCCGACACAUAGAGCAUGUAUCUUCUAAAACUGUAAACAAACAGCAAUAAAAUCACAAUGAACAAAGUCACGGCAACCCUGCUCUGAAGGCUCGAGAAAGAACUGAAAUUCAAAGAACAAGGGUCGACUUACAGUGCUCUUGCUUCGUAAAGAUCCGCAGGCGAGGACGAUGAAUUCUGGUGGUGGUGACUCCGGUUCUUGAGCAGGCGGUUGAUGGCGAUGGCGGACAGCAGCGGCAGCGGACACGAACUGGUGGUGGCCUGAUUCUUCCUCCUGUUUCUCUUCUGGGUCGUAGCUCUUCCCUCUCAGUUUCUGUUUUUUCUAGCCGAAGCCCAGUCCGCCGCUCCUUAUCUCCUUGUUUCUAAUUCUCUCGAUUGCCUUCAACCCCCAUUUUUCAGUCCGUCCGACUCUCUUCUUUCUUUUCUUUUUUGUUUUUUUUUCUAGCCUCCGACGAAGCCUCCUAUCUAAUUGUCCCCCUUUGUUUUUCAGCCUUCCUUUGGCUCUUCCUCCCUUUUACUCUGCCUUUCUCAGCCACAAGCCCCGAUCAUUCUUCCUCUGUUUCUUUUGUUUUUCCAACUUCCCUCUCUAGCUUAGACAGACUCCUAGUUGCCAAAAAUGGCCUGCGGGUUCAGGUCAUGAAAGGCCUUAGCAUAGAGCUCCUUGUUGCCACCGAAGCUGCAUCUUUCACAUCCUCUCCAGCUCUCCUCUUUCUGUCUUUCUCCGCCGUCCCUAUUGCUUUUCUAUUCCUCUGUUCUUGUGUUUUUUAGCCGUAGCUCCCCCCAGACAAAAACCUUCCCCCCACUCUCUCUUGCGGCUGUUUCUAUUUUAAAGGCACCCCAAAGAAGAACUAAACCUAAGAUGAAGGGCUAAGAUCUCAUCCUCCAAAAAUAGGCUUAUGUGCAAAAAAAAAAUAAAAUAAAUAAAGUAAAACCCUAACAUCGGAACAAAUGAAAUUAAAAAUUAAAUGAUUAAAGUUUAAUUAAAUGAUAAAAUGACUUAGAAAAUAAAAAUAAAAAUAAAAUGAAAUUAAUCAAAAAUAGAAAUAAUAGCAAACAAAAUUUCUUAAAAAUUUGGUGUCUACAGCAACAAGUCAUGCACUUGACACUCACCAAAUCACAAUGAGGGAGUAAGUGCAAAAGUUCUUUAAUGGUCGUCUCCGGUAUUCUAUUCAAGAUCCUCUUGAGCGCCUGGAAACAUAAUAAUUGACUAUUACCCAUAAUUACUUACAAACUCCUUGCCAAACAAGGAAGGAUGUACGUUCGUUUUCAAAUUAAAACAAUGUCUCGAAAGGCCUCAAUAUCUCGAAAAUCGAGAUUCAAAAAUGAGGGUUUAAUAAUACAAGGGAAACUGAUUUCCUCCAUGAAAUCGAGUUUAAAAAAAUCAAUCAAUAUUAAGAAAGAGUAACGAGUUCUCAAAAACUCAUUUUUAUAAGAAAUCGGGAAAUUUCAGCUUUGCACGACAAUCUUUGGAAAAAUC
rnacentral:lncRNA from 1 species